GCCUGGGUGGCUCAGUUGGUUAAGCGUCCGACUUCGGCUCAGGUCAUGAUCUCACGGUUCGUGGGUUCGAGCCCCACGUCGGGCU
rnacentral:tRNA from 1 species